AUAAACACACAUUUAGAGAGACAAAGAGAGACGGAGAGAGAACGACAUGACAGAGAGCCGAUCACCCCAACCCGAUGAAGGUGAUGAUGGUGACGACUCCGACAACCAGAUUGGCAACGAUGGCAGCUAGGGUUCCAGUUUGGGGGUUUUGAAACCAGAUCGUCAAGGUGUUCAGGAUGUCUGCAAUCUGGUUGUCCAAUUUGGGGGUUUUGAAACACGCAGCCGGAAUUAACAGUUCAUGACUCAUUUCGCCGUUGCCAAAGUCGCUCAAGAAUCAAAUCUUCAAUUGAGAUAUGCUGUGUUUUCAAGGACUAUUCUUCUGUCCCGAAGUAGCUUCAUUGCUCCUUCAUAAUUUCUGCAUUUAUCACAUCGGUCCACCUGGCUGUGAACGUGCUAUUUUGUAUUUACGGUUUAAUUAUGACCACAUAAUAUUCAAUAAUCAAGUUCUGAUAUUCAUAUGUUUUGAAUGUUUGAGAGAUCAUGUUUAUUAUGGAGGAUAUUAACUUUUAUGUGCCCCUUUAAAAUUAAUAAUCAAAUAAUCACAUGUUUUGAGUGUUUGACAAAUUAAAAUAAAAAAAUUUAAAAUUAUAUUAUUAACGUAAAAAUUCUCUUCUGGGAUUUGUACAAGAGUCGUUGCAGCUAGGAGCAGCAGCCAUAUGUCCCGAUGAUCCGGUUCUGUCUGUGGAGGAUCUUUGUGAUCAGAUUCUCGAGGUCCUUAACUAUUUUAGGCUCGGUGCAGUGAUGUGCAUGGGGGCAAUGGCGGGUGCCUACAUUCUUACGCUCUUUGAGACAAAGCAUAGAACGAUAUGAUGCAUAUAUGAAUUCAGUGUGAAGAUGGGGAAUAAGAGAAUUAUUGUUGAUAGCAUCAAUCACUCACAUAAAUGAGACAUGCCCACUGUACGUUCGUGGACUGGCAGCAUGAGGAGUUCUUUUUCAUCAUCCAGAACUAAUUCUUUAAGAUACCAUGUUCAUUCUGCUUACUGUACGCAUAACUUAAGGUUAAAACUUGUGAUUACGUCAGUUAUGUGUGUUAAUAGUUAUCAGUGUAACGGGUUGAUGGCAAGUUAUUGGGUCUUACGGCUUACAUGCUCAAGGCCGAAUUGGGGCCAAAUGUCUUAGUGUUGUAGGGAAUAAAGUUUUUGAUGAUUAUAUUUGUAAUCCUUUGGAUUUUAGGAACAUGGGCAGGAGAGAGCAUACGUUAGUGAGAGCGUAUUCAUGUUUGUCCUUCUGUCUAUCCUCUUGGUAAUUAUGUGUUCUCUUUAAUGUGUUGCGAAUUUUGAUUAGUUAUGGUAACUUAUUUUGGUGUUGCUUUACUCGCUAUGUUAUUUUGGAUUUAUGGUUGUUAUGUAAAAAUAUUAGACUCAUCUGGUGUUUUGUACCAUGACUUUUUUUCUGUUACAGUGGACAUUCCAUCCUUUCAUAUUUAAGAGUAAAAAGAUUUACACAGUUCUAAUAUGGUGAAGGGUCCUCGCGUUUUUAGUUGUAUGUGUAUGAAAAUUGUGAGAGAAAAUGUGUAGCUUUUACUAAUUUGUUAUAACCAGGUUUGAUUUUCAGUUUGGGCAACUAGAAAAGCCGCAUGACGAGGACGACCGGCUAAAUGAUGCUAACGACUCAACGAUGCUAGCGGCGUGAAUCCUCUACGACUUUCGAAGAUUUCCAUCAAUAAUUGGAAAAAGAGAAACCUAAGGCGACUUCAAGUGCUAAAAAAACACCAAAACCACCACGAUCCCAGGCGCACAAAGCUUUUUAACUGGAUGUUGCAGACCCGUAGCUGAUUAGGGAGCUUGCCAUGAUUAAGAGGGCGAGAAUGGAGCGUAUGAAAGGCUACCUCAUCCUCAUCAUCGCAUAUUCAAAGAAGGGAUGUCAAGAUUGAUAGGAAGGGGAAACACCUUUUGAACAAUUGCCUACUAGGAAACAACCGCAACUGGAAGCCGUAGUUCAAAAAGCCACGUCGCCUAGGACAAUGUCUAGCCCCCGCCGCAUCGCGGCGGGUUACAUUUCUAGUUGUUAUUAAAUUAGCACAUAUAAUUAUGCUAACUGAGGGUAUAUGGGAAGCAAAAAAAACGCCAUUAUGCAGAAACUAGACAAAUCAAAACACAUAAAAAAAGAUCUAGCAAAGGUUGAAUCUUGUUGGUGAAUACGAAUCUAACAUUUAGACUAUUUUUUGGAAUAACUUCCGUCGUCAGUGAUGAUCUUUCCAUUGACGUUCCUUGAUUUGACAUUUAGCAAAGGUAAUGAUAAAAGAAACAAAUUAAAUUAAAGGCAUGAGUAGCGAUUGAAUAAUGCUACGUUGUUUUU
rnacentral:lncRNA from 1 species